GGUUUAGUGAUUCAGUGGUAGAAUACUUUCCUACCACGCACGUGGCCCCGGGUUCGAUUCCCGGCUGACUUU
rnacentral:tRNA from 1 species